rnacentral:rRNA from 1 species
UACGUAGGGCGCAAGCGUUAUCCGGAAUUACUGGGCGUAAAGCGUGCGCAGGCGGUUUUGUAAGUCUGUCGUGAAAGCCCCGGGCUCAACCUGGGAAUUGCGAUGGAGACUGCAAGGCUUGAAUCUGGCAGAGGGGGGUAGAAUUCCACGUGUAGCAGUGAAAUGCGUAGAGAUGUGGAGGAACACCGAUGGCGAAGGCAGCCCCCUGGGUCAAGAUUGACGCUCAUGUACGAAAGCGUGGGGAGCAAACAGG